CCUACGGGAGGCAGCAGUGGGGAAUAUUGGACAAUGGGGGGAACCCUGAUCCAGUGAAGCCGCGUGAGUGAAGAAGGCUUUCCGUGUGUAAAGCUCUAUCAGCAGGGAAGAAAAUGACUGUACCUGACUAAGAAGCCCCGGCUAACUACGUGCCAGCAGCCGCUGUAAUACGUCGGGGGGAAGCGUUAACCGGAUUUACUGGGUGGAAAGGGAGCGUAGACGGUGCAGCAAGUCUGAUGUGAAAGGUUCGGGGCCAACCCCGGGAGUGCAUUGGAAACUGUUGAACUGGAGUACAGGAGAGGUAAGCGGAAUGCGUAGUGUAGCGGUGAAAUGCGUAGAUAUUAGGAGGAACACCAGUGGCGAAGGCGGCUUACUGGAGCGUAACUGACGUUGAGGCUCGAAAGCGUGGGGAGCGAACAGGAUUAGAUACCCCAGUAGUC
rnacentral:rRNA from 1 species